GUGUUUCUAUCUGUGUAUACUGUAUGUGUGUGUUUCUGUGUGUAUCUGUGUGUGUUUGUCUGUCUGUGUUUGUCUGUCUGUGUAUCUGUGUUUGUAUAUGUGCAUAUCUGUGUGUGUAUCUGUGUGUAUCUGUGUGUUUGUCUGUCUGUGUUUGUCUGUCUGUGUAUCUGUGUUUGUAUAUGUGCAUAUCUGUGUGUGUAUCUGUGUGUAUCUGAGUGUGUAUCUGAGUGUAUAUCUGUGUGUGUUUGUCUGUGUAUCUGUGUGUUUGUGUUCUACAGAGCUCUCCUGGACAUGAUGAGAGGAUAUGAGAGAGUCUAUAGUGUCACCUACAGUCACAGUGACCAGAUAGCAACACUGCUAAAGACCGCAGGACUCAGCUUGCAGUGUGGUGGACGUGUGUGUUACCUGUCCUGGGGGUCUCUCGGGUUAGUGGGACUUAUCGAUGCCAGCGAGUGUAUCCCGACAUUCGGAGCAGACUAUGAGGACAUCCGAGGCUUCAUCAGUGGAGGAUACCAGGACAUGGACAACAUAGAGGGAGACCUCACAUCACUGGGAUCCCAGUUCUGUAUCGCCCAUGAGGACUUUGUGAGUCUGGUUCUGCCUACUUUGAGUGACAAAGACACCGUCCUACUGCUAUA